AAGCGGUGGAGCAUGUGGUUUAAUUCGACGCAACGCGAAGAACCUUACCAGGGCUUGACAUCCCCUGACCGCGUAUGAAAGUACGUUUUCACCUUCGGGAGACAGGGAGACAGGUGGUGCAUGGUUGUCGUCAGCUCGUGUCGUGAGAUGUUGGGUUAAGUCCCGCAACGAGCGCAACCCCUACGUUUAGUUGCUAACGCGUGAAGGCGAGCACUCUAGACGAACUGCCGUUGACAAAACGGAGGAAGGUGGGGAUGACGUCAAAUCAUCAUGCCCCUUAUGUUCUGGGCUACACACGUGCUACAAUGGCCGGUACAGACGGACGCAAAGCCGCGAGGUGGAGCAAAUCCUAAAAAGCCGGUCUCAGUUCGGAUUGCAGGCUGCAAUUCGCCUGCAUGAAGUCGGAAUCGCUAGUAAUCGCAGGUCAGCAUACUGCGGUGAAUACGUUCCCGGGCCUU
rnacentral:rRNA from 1 species